rnacentral:misc_RNA from 1 species
AUAGUCACAAUCAAACUUUGAUGGUAAAGCACCCCGAGCUUGGUACCCAAAAAAGUGGGAGAUAGCAUUGAAUUUCUUCCCUUUAUAUGUGCCCUCUUUCAGACGCUUGUUUAUUUCUGUCUCCACCAACUGAGCUAGAAGUUUCUCUAACUCAAUCUGAGACAGCUGAGCAGAGUUGUCCGAUUCUGGAUGAAGAAGGAUCUGUUUCCUGAUAAAUGGUGGCAAGAAUUCAAACAAGGCCG